rnacentral:rRNA from 1 species
CAGGUCACUCCUACGGGAGGCAGCAGUGGGGAAUUUUGCGCAAUGGGGGAAACCCUGACGCAGCAACGCCGCGUGGAGGAUGAAGUCCCUUGGGAUGUAAACUCCUUUCGAUCGGGACGAUUAUGACGGUACCGGAAGAAGAAGCACCGGCUAACUCUGUGCCAGCAGCCGCGGUAAUACAGAGGGUGCGAGCGUUAAUCGGAAUUACUGGGCGUAAAGCGUGCGCAGACGGUCAUGUAAGUCGGGUGUGAAAGCCCCGGGCUCAACCUGGGAAUUGCAUUCGAGACUGCAUGGCUAGGGUGCGGAAGAGGGAAGCGGAAUUUCCGGUGUAGCGGUGAAAUGCGUAGAUAUCGGAAGGAACACCAGUGGCGAAAGCGGCUUCCUGGUCCAGCACCGACGUUCAGGCACGAAAGCGUGGGGAGCAAACAGGAUUAGAUACCCUGGUAGUCCUAGCCCUAAACGAUGAAUGCUUGGUGUGACAGGUACCCAAUCCUGUCGUGCCGGAGCUAACGCAUUAAGCAUUCCGCCUGGGGAGUACGGUCGCAAGAUUAAAACUUAAAGGAAUUGACGACUCCUACGGGAGGCAGCAGUGGGGAAUAUUGG